AAGAUGUGAUGGGUGACAAAAACCUCUCCUGGGCACUGACUUCUAGGACGCUAAUGGAUAGAAAAGUAUUUGAUCAGCCCCCCACUCAAAAAACACCUACACUUACCAUUUGGAUACUUACAGCUUAUUAGAGCUAGAAGAAUGUUUAGGCAUUACCUAAUACAACUCUUUUAUCUUUCAGAUGAAGAAACUGAGGCCCAGAGAGGGCAAAUAACUUGGUCAAAGGAGUGCCGCUAAGGAGUAGCUGAACCAGAACUUCAACCCAAGUCUUCUUAUUCAUUUUCCAAGUGCUCAUCCCUACAUGGCAAUCUCCCUUUGGCUUUGCCCUCAGGACUCUGGGAAACAUUUUGAAUUACAGAAGCUUUGCCAGGAGGAAACUUCAUUUAAUUUGAUCUUCGCUGGAAGUGCAAGGAAGAGAAAUAAGAAGUGUCUGUUGCAAUGCUUUAGACUUAAAUAUUCUCAGCUCUCUCGCUUCUGCAAAAGCUCAAGGAAGGAAAUGAUAGCUUGAGGCUCUUCAACAUUAGAAAAUCAAAAGAAAGGUUUGUUCUAGCGGAGACUGAAAUUCUUUAUUUGGAACUUGACACAUCCCAGACCCAUAAGAACUCAGCAUGACAAGAUAUGCAGCUACAUCCAUCAUUACUCAGCCCUAAGCAGGCAGCAGUGCAGGGCAAGGCUUUGAUGGGCACAAGUCAGGGACCCCAGACUUCUACUUACUGACCACAGAGGAAUCUGUGCCUGCUCACCCUGGGACUGGAAGCUCCACUAACACUGCAGCAGCUCACCCAUCACACGGGAGCACCGCUGGCUCACUGAUCGUGCAGGGGCACUAUCUUGUUCAGCGAUGGUGUGGGAGCUGCAUUUCCUCAGCGAGAAUCAGGAUUCAUCAGUCCUGGCAGCUCUGGUCUCUGCAUACUGGUUGCUGGGAAGGUUUUUAAAGACUCUUUGGUGGGAAGACUUCCUGAUCCGAGUCCAAACUGAAAAUGGAUACUCCAUUUGCAAGACAGUGACACUUCCAGUGUGGUGUCAUCAAACAUCUCCCAAGCAACAGCAGCCUGGAACAUUAUUGUUUAACCACUUCUUGCUCAACGUUGUGUGGGUUUCACUUACAGAAGGAUCUACAUGGUGUGCUGGUCACCUGACUUGCUCACCCAGCCACAGAGAGAGAAGCUGGACAAGGGCGAGCUGGAGGGCCAGACCCACGCCUAGAAGACACUUGCUGCAAGGAGGCAAGAGAAGUACAUUUGUCACGGAUGCCGUGAUGCACCUGCCUGACCCCCGUUCAGAACCAAGGUGCUCGUUCCUGCCACUCUGCUGCUGGAUCACAGCUGAGUCUCUUCCCAGGAGUCAUCCUAGGCCAA